rnacentral:tRNA from 1 species
CUGGCAGUGAUUAACAUUGAUGAAAAAAACGGACUACGAAUCCGCAGGUCGCACGUUCGAAUCGUGCCGGGCGCACCA